rnacentral:lncRNA from 1 species
UUGGUCAGAGGGAAUAACCGCAUCACCACCGCCUCCACUGCCGUUACCGAUGUGAGAUUUCUUAAGAGAUCUUUGAUUCUGACUCUGCAUAACCACUUGACCAUUUUGCCACAGUAGUUCCAUGAUUUCCUCCUCCGCCCUAUGAAACCAACAAACAAAAAUCUCUUCCACUUCAAAAUCACAAAUCAGAAAACUAAACCUUUCAUUCAAAUGAUUAAAAAAAAAAACAUAAAGUUUACAUUGCGGACUUCUUAGUUCUGGUAAGACCAGAAGAAGCAGGAAGAGAGUAGUCAUCAUCCAUAUCAAAAUCAGGAACAGAAUGAUUCAUCGUGACGUAGGCAGCUCAAAUCUCCCAAAUAAAAAAAUCAAAAUUGGUCAGGCACCGCCGCAACAAGCAGUCCCAAACUCACCAUAACACUGGAGCAGCUUAUUAACACCGCCCAUAAAUCUACGAAAUCAAAAGCUCACACAAAAGGCGGCUGCUUAAUGUUAAAAACGUCUUUAACAACCUCCAGAGUUAGCUGAAAGUACCUUUUUGAAACCCUUUUACUGUUGUGUGUAGUUUGAAAAUGGAGAGACGAGUGACGAUUGAUUGAGUAGCAGAGAGCAAGAAGGUGGGCGAUUUUGGGUAUGAAUACUUUCCUCUUUCUAUUCUUUCCUUCUUUCCUUUCUUGGUUUUUGCCUUUAUUGUUAAUGUCCUUUUGCAAGAGAGAUAAGGUCCGUUCUCUCCUCCCCUCUCUCUCUUUCCUCACCGUGCCUUUAAUCUUCGAAUAAAAAUUAAAGAAAAAGACGAAAUUGAUUUUUGACACUAUUGCAUCGGACAGUUAUUUCACUGUCAUUAUAAACACAUUUCCCCACCUGUUUCAAUCAAGCAGCUUAUCAUCAAUUACUACUAAACUACUACUAUUUCCUACUCAUCUCUCCCAACUUGAGUCUUUUACAUUUUUGCCCUAACAAAAUUUAAAAAUUUGUUAACGAAUAUUUUUUUCCGCCACCAACAUGAUUUGUGAUGUAGUAGCGAGACUACUUCAUUGUUAAUCAAUGAUCUAGAGUUUGAGUUUUGGAUAUGAAUUGUUUUUUAUUAAGAGUGUCAUCUCCUAAUAUAUCAUGCAGCGGGUCAGAUUUAAUUGGUGCUUCAAUACGGAUAUUGAAUGAGGACCAAUUAUUUUCCCCUAUCCAUAAUUAGCGAGGGUACAAAAGGUUUAAUAAAGCAGUAGUUUUUGAACUCGUCACUCCGAGUCUAAAUAAUAAAUUCUUGGUCAAUUAUUCGUUUAUACACAUAUACAUAAUUGUUUGAUUUGAGAAAAUGUGUAACACAUACAUAAUUAUAUUUGGGAAAAUGUGACACAGAACAUAAUAAUUUUGAAAAAUGUGAAUAGAACAUGGAAAGUUCUCAUUUUAUUAACUUUGUUGCGCGACUUCAAAUUAGGUCGUGAUGAUAAGGUGUUGAUACAAAAUUUCAUGUGCCGAUUGGUAUUAAAAUCAAACAAAAAAAAAUUAUUGAUUUGGAAAACAAUUUUUGAUGUGUUUGAGAGCCGACUUAAAUUGUAAAAUUUAAUAAUUCUUCUAAAGUGAUUAUCUAAGCAUAUUAGAACUGCUUAAUGACAUUAUUUGUUGCUUUGUCUGGUGGGGCCCUGCACAAAUUACCUUAUGUAUAUAUCUACAAAAACUAUUGGUUAAUAAGAGAAAGAUAGAGCCGAUAGAGACAUAUAGUAAUAUAUGAAUUCAUAUUUGGAUAACUUUGGAUUUCCAAUUAACACGUAGUAUUAUUUAUAAUAUAUGUACAAAUACUUUAAUGAUUCGAACAGAAGUCCAUCUAUCACCAAAAAGAAUAUGAUUAUCUAUGUUGUACAGUUGCAGUUUUAUGUAAUGAAUGUUAAAUAAAAUAAUUUGCUAAGUACAUGUUUAAGAUACACUUAUCAUUGUUUAUAUUACUUAAAUAAUAACACUUUAAUUAGUCGACAAAAGCUAAAAAGUAGUGAUUGUUCUGUAUAAUAUAUCAUUAUCCAUUGUGGAUCCUCUGCAUAUUAAAAGCUGAUUCGGGCGUGAGCGCUGAGCAGUCCACAAUUAUUUAUUUAACAAAAAAACGUAUAAAAAUCUUUUAUUACAUGAAAUUAAAAAAAAAUGUCUAGUUAAUAGUUUGGUCUAAUAAUAUUUAUAUUGCUAAUAAUUUGGUUCAAAGAUGCCUAUCUGUUGCUCAAAUGAGUCAAAAAUGUCAUUUUUUAAAGUAAUUUGUUUGCAUAGUUUAACUACCAAAUACCAAUCACUAAUUUUAUUCUAUUAUUUAACUUUUUCUUCAAAGCUUUCAUCAUUUUAUUCUCUUGAUAACUCAGACUUACAAUCUUAAGAUUAAAAAAAGAAAGUACUUAACUACUCAUCAUUCAAGUAACCUUAUUUUGUCAAACUAUGAUCCUAAUUAAGUUGAGUCCUUUCGUUAUCUUAAAAUAUAAAGUACUACCACUUCUUUUUUUUGUUAGUAAUAUUUUUUAUUGUCAUAGAUAAGAAUAAAAAUUGAUAUUUUUUUUUGAAUUCUUAACCUAGGUGGUCCUAAGAAUGUAAGGUACCCCUUGGUGGUGUUAAAGCAUAAUUCUUACUACAUGUCCAAGUAUAUCGAAUAUUAGAUGCACUGGAGAUAUUGAGAACGAUAGUGCUCUAAGAACAGAAUAUAUAUGUCUUUAAGUUGAAUCUGACAUGUCAAAAUGAUUAAUCUACUUGUGGCAUAACGCAAGAAAUGACCAUUUUUUUCUAAGAGGAAUGAUAUAGUAUAAUUAAAUUACACAUUAGGGAUAAUAAGAAACACAUUAUAGUAAGGCCUCGUUUUAAAAGGAUUUGAAGUUGAAGUUUUGUCUGAACAUGUAAUUGGAAUAUUUUGUCAGACUAUGAGUUGCAACCUGCUAUUCCAAAUUGUCAAAGAAUGUUAUAAUGAAGAAAUUGUAAGUCAAUAUAUAGCUAACUUUACAGUGUUUUUGCAACCAGAUAUUCUUUGCUCACUUGUUUUCUCACUUUCUAAGUGAUAAAGGUGAUGGCUCAGUUCCUGGGGUUGAUGUACACUUACUUGAGCAUAUCCAUAACCAAAAACAUUGGAUUAGAUUUUCAUCUGUAUUUAUAGACACUAUUAUUGCUCUGUACUAUUAGCAUAGAAUAAGAAAUGUGGAUAUGUGGGACAAGGUGGGAGUGGCUUUUUGUGGAGGAUAUGAUGUGAAAAGCGAGGGUGAGAUGAUUCGGACAUGUGAAGAUGAGAUACACAUAUGCCUCAGAGUAGAGGUGUGAGAGAUUGUUUAUGGAUGGUUUCAGAAUAAGUAGAGGUAGACUGAAGAAGUAGUGGAUCAUUGGACAGGGCAUGAAAUAGUUUCGGUUUAGCAAGGACAUGACUUUAGAUAGGAGGGUAUGAAAGACACAAAUUAGGUCAGAAAGUUAGUAUGUAGCCGUGUUUCAUCUUAUUGUCCCUUCAUAUUAGUAGUCGUAGUAUUGCUCUUAUAGUUUCAUUCCUUCAAAAAAAAUUACUAUAUGUUGUUCUUUAUAUCUCGAUUAUCAUUUUGUUGCAAUAUCUAUUGUGUUGCUAUCUAUUGUUUUUAUUAUUAUUUGAUGUUUCUUGUAUUUUCAUUACCUUUUUUUUGAGAUUAUUCUGGACUUUUUUUCUUAUGCCGGGGGUCUAUCAGAAACAAGAUAUCUACCUCUGAGGUACGAAUAAGGCCUAUAUAUACUCUACUGGCCUUUCCAAACUCCAUUUCGUGGAACUUACCCCUGAUAUGUUGUUGUACUAUCAGCAUAGAAUAAACUCAUUAGUG